rnacentral:rRNA from 1 species
UAGGGAAUCUUCCACAAUGGACGCAAGUCUGAUGGAGCAACGCCGCGUGAGUGAAGAAGGUUUUCGGACCGUAAAGCUCUGUUGUUGGUGAAGAAGGAUAGAGGUAGUAACUGGCCUUUAUUUGACGGUAAUCAACCAGAAAGUCACGGCUAACUACGUGCCAGCAGCCGCGGUAAUACGUAGGUGGCAAGCGUUGUCCGGAUUUAUUGGGCGUAAAGCGAGCGCAGGCGGAAGAAUAAGUCUGAUGUGAAAGCCCUCGGCUUAACCGAGGAAUUGCAUCGGAAACUGUUUUCUUGAGUGCAGAAGAGGAGAGUAGAACUCCAUGUGUAGCGGUGGAAUGCGUAGAUAUAUGGAAGAAUACCAGUGGCGAAGGCGGCUCUCUGGUCUGCAACUGACGCUGAGGCUCGAAAGCAUGGGUAGCGAACAGGAUUAGAUACCCUGGUAGUCCAUGCCGUAAACGAUGAGUGCUAAGUGUUGGGAGGCUUCCGCCUCUCAGUGCUGCAGCUAACGCAUUAAGCACUCCGCCUGGGGGAGUACGACCGCAAAGGU